UACGUGAGGGGCGAGCGUUGUCCGGAUUUAUUGGGCGUAAAGAGCGUGUAGGCGGCCAGGUAGGUCUGCUGUGAAAACUCGAGGCUCAACCUCGAGACGUCGGCGGAAACCAUCUGGCCUAGAGUCCGGAAGAGGAGACUGGAAUUUACGGUGUAGCGGUGAAAUGCGUAGAUAUCGUAAGGAAGACCAGUGGCGAAGGCGGGUCUCUGGACAGUUCCUGACGCUGAGGCACGAAGGUCAGGGGAGCAAACGGGAUUGAGAGUACC
rnacentral:rRNA from 1 species